rnacentral:rRNA from 1 species
CAAUUUAAACAACGAAGAGUUUGAUCCUGGCUCAGGAUGAACGCUAGCGACAGGCUUAACACAUGCAAGUCGAGGGGCAGCACAGGUAGCAAUACCGGGUGGCGACCGGCGCACGGGUGAGUAACGCGUAUGCAACUUACCUAUCAGAGGGGGAUAACCCGGCGAAAGUCGGACUAAUACCGCAUGAAGCAGGGGCCCCGCAUGGGGAUAUUUGCUAAAGAUUCAUCGCUGAUAGAUAGGCAUGCGUUCCAUUAGGCAGUUGGCGGGGUAACGGCCCACCAAACCGACGAUGGAUAGGGGUUCUGAGAGGAAGGUCCCCCACAUUGGUACUGAGACACGGACCAAACUCCUACGGGAGGCAGCAGUGAGGAAUAUUGGUCAAUGGGCGUAAGCCUGAACCAGCCAAGUCGCGUGAGGGAUGAAGGUUCUAUGGAUCGUAAACCUCUUUUAUAAGGGAAUAAAGUGCGGGACGUGUCCCGUUUUGUAUGUACCUUAUGAAUAAGGAUCGGCUAACUCCGUGCCAGCAGCCGCGGUAAUACGGAGGAUCCGAGCGUUAUCCGGAUUUAUUGGGUUUAAAGGGUGCGUAGGCGGCCUUUUAAGUCAGCGGUGAAAGUCUGUGGCUCAACCAUAGAAUUGCCGUUGAAACUGGGAGGCUUGAGUAUGUUUGAGGCAGGCGGAAUGCGUGGUGUAGCGGUGAAAUGCUUAGAUAUCACGCAGAACCCCGAUUGCGAAGGCAGCCUGCCAAGCCAUGACUGACGCUGAUGCACGAAAGCGUGGGGAUCAAACAGGAUUAGAUACCCUGGUAGUCCACGCAGUAAACGAUGAUCACUAGCUGUUUGCGAUACAGUGUAAGCGGCACAGCGAAAGCGUUAAGUGAUCCACCUGGGGAGUACGCCGGCAACGGUGAAACUCAAAGGAAUUGACGGGGGCCCGCACAAGCGGAGGAACAUGUGGUUUAAUUCGAUGAUACGCGAGGAACCUUACCCGGGUUUGAACGCAUUCGGACCGAGGUGGAAACACCUUUUCUAGCAAUAGCCGUUUGCGAGGUGCUGCAUGGUUGUCGUCAGCUCGUGCCGUGAGGUGUCGGCUUAAGUGCCAUAACGAGCGCAACCCUUGCCACUAGUUACUAACAGGUAAAGCUGAGGACUCUGGUGGGACUGCCAGCGUAAGCUGCGAGGAAGGCGGGGAUGACGUCAAAUCAGCACGGCCCUUACAUCCGGGGCGACACACGUGUUACAAUGGCGUGGACAAAGGGAAGCCACCUGGCGACAGGGAGCGAAUCCCCAAACCACGUCUCAGUUCGGAUCGGAGUCUGCAACCCGACUCCGUGAAGCUGGAUUCGCUAGUAAUCGCGCAUCAGCCAUGGCGCGGUGAAUACGUUCCCGGGCCUUGUACACACCGCCCGUCAAGCCAUGGGAGCCGGGGGUACCUGAAGUCCGUAACCGCGAGGAUCGGCCUAGGGUAAAACUGGUGACUGGGGCUAAGUCGUAACAAGGUAGCCGUACCGGAAGGUGCGGCUGGAACACCUCCUUUCU